GAUGAACGUUGGCGGUGCGCCUUAUGCAUGCAAGUCGUACGAGGUUAUAGUUUUCGGAUUAUAACUUAGUGGCGGACGGCUGAGUAACACGUAAGUAACCUACCUCCAAGUGGGGGAUAACCUGCCGAAAGGCAAGCUAAUACCGCAACGGUAGUCAAGGUAUACUUGAUUAUCAAAGCCUUAGGGCGCUUGGAGAGGGUCUUGCGCCUGAUUAGCUAGUUGGUAGGGUAAUAGCCUACCAAGGCGAUGAUCAGUAGCUGGUCUGAGAGGAUGGUCAGCCAGAUGGGGACUUGAGACACGGCCCCAACUCCUACGGGAGGCAGCAGCAAGGGAUAUUGGGCAAUGGGCGAAAGCCUGACCCAGCGACACCGCGUGAGGGAGGAAGGCCUUCGGGUUGUAAACCUCUUUUCUCGGGGAAGAAUUUUGACGGUACUCGAGGAAUAAGUCUCGGCUAACUACGUGCCAGCAGCCGCGGUAAUACGUAGGAGGCGAACGUUAUCCGGAUUUACUGGGCGUAAAGAGAGCGUAGGCGGCUCUUUAAGUCAAGUGUGAAAUCUUCUGCCUCAAUCAGAAGAGGCCGCUUGAUACUGGAGAGCUUGAGGGCAGCAGAGGGAAAUGGAAUUCCCAGUGUAGCGGUGAAAUGCGUUGAUAUUGGGAAGAACACCAGUGGCGAAGGCGAUUUCCUAGGUUGUUACUGACGCUGAGGCUCGAAAGCGUGGGGAGCGAAGCGGAUUAGAUACCCGCGUAGUCCACGCCCUAAACUGUGGACACUAGAUAUGGGGGGUAUCGACCCCCUCCGUGUCGAAGCUAACGCUUUAAGUGUCCCGCCUGGGUACACGGCCGCAAGGCU
rnacentral:rRNA from 1 species